rnacentral:rRNA from 1 species
UUGCCACCAGCCGCGGUAAUACGUAGGUGGCAAGCGUUGUCCGGAAUUAUUGGGCGUAAAGCGCGCGCAGGCGGUCUUUUAAGUCUGAUGUGAAAGCCCACGGCUCAACCGUGGAGGGUCAUUGGAAACUGGAGGACUUGAGUGCAGAAGAGGAGAGUGGAAUUCCACGUGUAGCGGUGAAAUGCGUAGAUAUGUGGAGGAACACCAGUGGCGAAGGCGGCUCUCUGGUCUGUAACUGACGCUGAGGCGCGAAAGCGUGGGGAGCAAACAGGAUUAGAUACCCUGGUAGUCC